UGGGGAAUUUUGGACAAUGGGGGAAACCCUGAUCCAGCCAUCCCGCGUGUGCGAUGAAGGCCUUCGGGUUGUAAAGCACUUUUGGCAGGAAAGAAACGUCGCGGGUUAAUACCCCGCGAAACUGACGGUACCUGCAGAAUAAGCACCGGCUAACUACGUGCCAGCAGCCGCGGUAAUACGUAGGGUGCAAGCGUUAAUCGGAAUUACUGGGCGUAAAGCGUGCGCAGGCGGUUCGGAAAGAAAGAUGUGAAAUCCCAGAGCUUAACUUUGGAACUGCAUUUUUAACUACCGGGCUAGAGUGUGUCAGAGGGAGGUGGAAUUCCGCGUGUAGCAGCGAAAUGCGUAGAUAUGCGGAGGAACACCGAUGGCGAAGGCAGCCUCCUGGGAUAACACUGACGCUCAUGCACGAAAGCGUGGGGAGCAAACAGGAUUAGAUACCCUGGUAGUCCACGCCCUAAACGAUGUCAACUAGCUGUUGGGGCCUUCGGGCCUUGGUAGCGCAGCUAACGCGUGAAGUUGGACCGCCUGGGGAGUACGGUCGCAAGAUUAAAACUCAAAGGAAUUGACGGGGGUCGAUAGC
rnacentral:rRNA from 1 species